CAGAAUCAACCACAACUACUUCUCCAGAAUCAACCACAAGUUUAACAGGAACAUUUCCAGCUACAUCGGAUGAAGUUCUAUACACAAUAGAACAAAUUCACUGCCCUUGUUUUUUAAAUCUAUGUAUGGAUAACAAAGAUGUAAACUGUUCAAUUGUAUAUCAAUCAUGUUUAAAUACAACAACUGAAGCUUCUACAACAACUAUAACUGCUUCUCCUUUAACAACAACUGUAUGGCCAGCUGAAGCAACAACUACAACUGAACCUCCAACUAUAACUACUGGAGCAACAACAACAACUAAAACUCCAACCACAACAACUGAAGCCA
rnacentral:lncRNA from 1 species